CCAAUGAUCUUUGCUGAUCUACAUACUUAUCAUAUUUAUAUCAAUAAAAUAGUUGAUUGACUUAUUGUAUUAUUUUCAUACCAAUCGGCUUGAUUUAGUUAGAUCGGCAGUUAUCUAUGUUCCAUCGGCUCACGAGAAUUGUAUGCAAAUUGGUUUUAGCCGAUCGUAACACAUGAUUCAUUGUUUAUUCCAAGUAAUUCCUCG
rnacentral:lncRNA from 1 species